rnacentral:rRNA from 1 species
UACGUAGGGUGCGAGCGUUGUCCGGAAUUACUGGGCGUAAAGAGCUCGUAGGUGGUUUGUCGCGUUGUUCGUGAAAACUCACAGCUUAACUGUGGGCGUGCGGGCGAUACGGGCAGACUGGAGUACUGCAGGGGAGACUGGAAUUCCUGGUGUAGCGGGUGGAAUGCGCAGAUAUCAGGAGGAACACCGGUGGCGAAGGCGGGUCUCUGGGCCGAUACUGACGCUGGAGAAGCGAAAGCAUGGGGAGCGAACAGG